UACGAAGGGGGCUAGCGUUGUUCGGAAUUACUGGGCGUAAAGCGCACGUAGGCGGAUAUUUAAGUCAGGGGUGAAAUCCCAGAGCUCAACUCUGGAACUGCCUUUGAUACUGGGUAUCUUGAGUAUGGAAGAGGUGAGUGGAAUUCCGAGUGUAGAGGUGAAAUUCGUAGAUAUUCGGAGGAACACCAGUGGCGAAGGCGGCUCACUGGUCCAUUACUGACGCUGGAGGUGACGAAAGCGUGGGGAGCAAACAGG
rnacentral:rRNA from 1 species